rnacentral:lncRNA from 1 species
CUUCUAUUUUAACUUUAUCAUUUUAUCUUAAUCAGUCAAACUUACCUGCAUUAUAAGCAGGUAAGUUUGACUGGCAAUAUAAAUAAUGUUGUAUAUCAUGCAGACAGCUCAGACAAAGAACCGUUCAUUAACAAGUCCGGUGCUUUAUAAUAUAUUUAAAGAUGGUAAGGACGUGAAGAAAACAGGUUUGUAAAUGAUGUUGUACAUCAUGCAGAUAGCUCAGAAGAAGAAGCAGGAAUGUUUGACUGGAAAUAUAAACGAUGUUGUACAUAAUGCAGAUAGCUUAGGCGAAAAAGAGAUUGGUGAAAUGGAGAAUGAGACUAACUACGGU